UCCACUCCACCAGAGAGGCCUCAGUUAAAUUUUCCCCCUUACAGCAUUUGGGAAGAAUGGAAACACUCAGAUUACUCACCCUUGCUGGGUGGAAAUGUUGUUCUUUACAGAGGAAGAGAGGAAGGAAAACAGCCAUAAAUGUGGCACGGUACAAGAAGAGAUAGAUUCACUCACAGACCACAUGAAACCCCACCGGAACCAAGACUUUAAGGAAAUGAGUCAGCCUGGAUUUAGAAACCAUUGGAGCUUCUGACAGAAGAGAUGAAUGAAGGAAGUGCCACAUCUCACAGAAUAGCUGGGAGACUUGAGGAGUACACUGCAGUUAAUAAUUUAAUCAAGAAAGGGAAGAAAUAGUAUGUUAGUAGAAGAAGUCUGCUCAUCUGGAGAC